GAUGAACGCUAGCUACAGGCUUAACACAUGCAAGUCGAGGGGCAGCAUGGUCUUAGCUUGCUAAGGCCGAUGGCGACCGGCGCACGGGUGAGUAACACGUAUCCAACCUGCCGUCUACUCUUGGACAGCCUUCUGAAAGGAAGAUUAAUACAAGAUGGCAUCAUGAGUCCGCAUGUUCACAUGAUUAAAGGUAUUCCGGUAGACGAUGGGGAUGCGUUCCAUUAGAUAGUAGGCGGGGUAACGGCCCACCUAGUCUUCGAUGGAUAGGGGUUCUGAGAGGAAGGUCCCCCACAUUGGAACUGAGACACGGUCCAAACUCCUACGGGAGGCAGCAGUGAGGAAUAUUGGUCAAUGGGCGAGAGCCUGAACCAGCCAAGUAGCGUGCAGGAUGACGGCCCUAUGGGUUGUAAACUGCUUUUAUAAGGGAAUAAAGUGGGAGUCGUGACUCUUUUUGCAUGUACCUUAUGAAUAAGGACCGGCUAAUUCCGUGCCAG
rnacentral:rRNA from 1 species